CGACUAACCGAGCGGGAAGGUUGUGCGCGUUCACAGACACGUUUGGUAACCGGAUCAUACAGAUCAUUCGCACGUGCGAUCACCGCGAAAAAAACCGCGGAAAGUGUUCUCACGUGUGCGUGUGUGUGUGUAUGUGGGUGUGAUUUCGGGUAUGUGCGGUUGUUUUUGUCCCUGGUUUCUGUCCCGAGUGCUUCCCUGAAAUCGAGUGAUUUCGAGUGAAAAGUGAAGGUGUGUUUGUUUACCAGACACCAUAUUUGAAGUGUCUGUUUGUGGCUCGUAGUUGUCACGUUCGUUUGCUGUUAACAGGACGUUCCUGGAGUGCUUUGGGUGGUUUGGCGCUACACCGACUCCAAAAUCGGCUACCGAACCGAGACAAUGAUGCAGCAUCGAAGAAGAAGCAUGAAAGCGGUGAUGCCAAUGGCACUGCUGCUGAUGGUGAUGAUCGGCACGAUAGUGGAAUGUACGUAUCAUCUAACGACAUAGAAUUCUCAUACCGCGCUAGACCGCGUCAUAUCAGGAACAACCGCAGUGGGUUGCGUUUGGCGUCUUAAUCAUAACAAAUCCACCGAUGGGCGAACCGUGUAUCGAUCGGUAUCGCGUAAAUGAUGCUGCCAUUCUGGCGGUCUAUCGGCGAAUCGUAACGUUUAAAGAACACAUUCGUUGCUCUGCACGUGUUCCCUCAAUCGAAGUCUGAUCGGCGACGAUGGACCGAUGCCCCCGCCCCCCUGGGUAACUUCAUCAUCCAUUAAUAUAAUAUUACGUUUUCACACUCUCUGGUGCAUUGCACUGGCAGGGCGAUGCGGUGGACUCCAGAUGGAGUCAAUGCCGGCUUACGCGUCUGGAGAAUGUUUACGUCUGACGUGGGAACAAUAUGGUCGCUCGGGGAAAAGCGGACUGACGCGAGGGAUUUAGCCUGGCCAGUGAAUGAAGAAACAUUCCAUCCACCUUCCAGACACACACGCACACACGCACACACGAACCAGGACCACUGGUCUAUGGCAGGAGCAGUUUAUUUGUUUGUACACAUGUUGCACUGGUGCUCCUCUGGGGAGGUCCACCGUCUAUCUCUGUGUACAUUAUGCUGCCACUCGGGGGCCCCAGGCCGCUGAUGAUGAUGCUGAUGAUGAUGAUAGGGAACGAACGAUCGCGACUGUAAACGCAUCAAUCUUUCAACGGCCACCGGUACUGAGAGAAGUUUUAAUAUUUUCGCUUUUCUUUCAUUUCUGCCUUUCGGUGAAAGCAUCGGGUUGUGGGCUGCGGCUGCCGGUUCGGUGGACAGAAAUUGCCUAAUCGAUCGAUCGAUCGCACCACGCGGACAAAUGGAUUUUCGGCGAUGAAAAGGCAACCAAACAAAUAUACAAUCCUCGCGCCUCCCGAUUGAAGCCGAUUGCGUUCAAGCAUGGAUGGAUGGAUGGAAAUAUGGAGUCUCCCGCUAGGCAUGACUCGCGGGGUGCCAUGCUUUUAGAAGUUUCGUAGAAAAAUCUUCGGAAAAAUGGUUUCCGUUAAUGGUUUCGCGAAAAUCGUGAUGAAGCGAGAGCACGCUCCCUCACCAUCCACUGGUGUUUCGCCCAUUCGCCCGGUGGGCAUUAUCUUACGGCGAACGUUUUCGAUCGCUUUCCUUUUUCACUUCCUCCUGCUCCUCCUGGCAGGCUGUCGUACGAGCAAAUGGCAAGAUAAAAUGGAAACCAUCGCGGUGGCGGGCGAAAUAGAAUUGAUGUCCUAAUGCUGCGCCCGCCAGUCAAUCCUCACAGUUGGAUUGAUUUGUUGGAUUGAAUUAAUUUCGUUUCAUCGUGUUCGGUUCCAAUUUUUCCAUCAAUUUUCCUUUCGGGAAACUGUUUUUGAUUGCUGGCUUUGGGCGUUUUAACAUCGCACCCUGCGGUGGUUGUUGCUGUUGCUCAAUUUUUUAUUUUUCUCUUCAACUUGUGGUCCACGCGGUUCAUAUGACACAGCGAAGCGAUGAUUCGGUUUCGAUCGAGCGAAGAGAGGUUUUUGUUUUUCACGGAUACUGCUGGCCGUUGAAGAAAAGUUCCAAAUUAGUUUUCCCACCCCAAAUCCGGGCUUCUCAACUUCGUAAUCCAAUCGUCGCCCUUAUGGAAAGCCUGGGAAGACUGAGCAGAAAGGUCGCCAAAGUGGCGAUUGUGUAUUGUGGUACCUGUUGGAUUAUAUUUAUUUGGAUUGGACUUUUGCAAAACUUCUAGAGGCGGGGGAGGGAAGGAUAUAACUUAAUUUGCAAUAAAAUACAACCGGAAACUGCACAAGGCAAGAUUGCUUUUCUCCCAUACAAUUUACGUUCUAUCAAUUGGUUGAAAUUAUAGAUUCAAUUACAAUGAUAGAUCGAAUUGCAGAAUGCUAUAUAAACAGACGUUUGGUGUCCUCUGGCAAUGUAAUCAAAACAUUGCUAUUGAUUUUGCUUCAUUGCGUGGACGAAUUGUAUCGGAGAAUAAUCUUAAAUCAAAAAUAUUUAUUCAUAAGCUACCGUAGAAGGCACUGGUCAGAGUUCCCAGAAAGGACCGUAGUAAACAUAGGUUAACGUCAGGCCUAUGCAUUACUAAUCGAUCAGAGUAGUCUUGGUACGACCAUCGAACAAAGUGGUAGAAUCCUUAGUCGCUGUUGAAUAUUUGGCGAGCACUCGUAGUGGAGUAGAAGUGUUUGACCAGAAAAAAACCUGAAGACCCUUCGUGAAUGUGUGCUUGAGAAUAUCACUCGAGACAGUUUUAUACAGAAAAAAGGACACCUGAGAGCCGAAGGGGAAACCUUAUUCCCCCACUAGAAGAUAUACCGUUGAAUGUGGUACGUACGAUGCCUUGAAUACUCAAUCAUCACCUACAGUUCCGCGGGCACCCAUUAGGGUUCCAUUUUCCAAAACGUUGAAGGCCCUUAGCAAAACAUCCAUAGCUGCUGCUGCUGCUGGCCCCCUUAGGAGCCAUAGUUCUCCCUUAAUAAAAACAGAAAAUCGAUUUCACCGCGCCGGCACGACUUUCGCCCGAUAUUAUCCACCCGAAACGAUGGCAAAACGAUGCGGUUGACCACAUUUUGGCUCAAGUUUUUUGAGGAGGUAAUUUUCGAUCACCUCGAACGGUUUUGCCGGCCGGCCGGUCAGACACCGGGCAUAUUUCUCUCCCGCUUUAUAAUGUCGGCGCAUGCCACACCAACAUCCGCGACAGAGAAUACCGGCCUCCCGACGAAACCGGUUCUCAUCGUUUUAUCCUGACACACGGACGCGGCCGGUGGGAUGAAAUCGGCAAACCGGUUGCGCCAUGAUCAUUCUCAUUCAUGAGCCUCACCGAGAAAACCGUCUCAGUGGAGGGAACUUCGGUUCUACUUGACGAUAGCGUGUUAUCAUAAACGAAUUGACCACCAGCAGUGCCCUUGCUUGAUCUUAAAGAAGGUCACGUUAUUGCUCCAACGCUCAAAACGUUAAAAUUCCGACCAACACGUUUAGUGAUGCGGAGCAGGUUUGGGUGUUGCUGCGAAUCGACUGUCGAAGAACGACAAUCGGUUUACAGGUUGUUACGGCUGGGGAACACAGCCAAACACUUGGCCAGAACAAAAAAAAAAUAAAUAAAAGAAGACACCAAAGACACACUUACGCACGGCUCAAUCGAAUGCUCAUCGCGUUGUCUCCUCAAUGCCAAGGUUGUGUACCGAGGCUUGCUGGCCUGAGGAUAUCGGAUUUCUGUCAGAUCCUCACACUUGCACCUGUCAGCACUUUCCACCGCCCUCCUCCGGGGGGGAAUCGAGGGUUGUCGAUUGCUUCGAUGCUUCACACGCUCACACGGCGCUGCUUACCUCGUUUUCUGCUUCAUUUUCUUCCGGUUCUUCCUUCACACCACCCUCUAGCAGCCAUAUCGUCGUCGGCCUGCUGGUUCUUAUGUUUUGUUUUCUGUUUCUGGCUUUCUUACCAAUUUGUUCUGUCAACCCUGUCCGCUGUCACACCACAGCAAUGCCGGGACUGCUAGGUUGUUUGUCGCAGCAUAGCACGUCGACGAGCCAAGCAAGCCAUAACCUCAAAAAUAAAUAAUGUACCGAGCACGAACCGAAUAAAUCUCCUCAACCCUCGGUGAUUCGGAACCGGGGGUUCUCCGAGGUUUGGCACAAACGAAAUUGAUGAGUGGGAAAUUGUUUCACGCAAUCAGAUUACCAGUCAGGUGGUACUCGAGCUGGUGACAAUACAACGGCAUAAUUUAUGCAUCCGUGAGCGUAUCACCGAACCUAUUGGUUCGCUAUUGGGAUCGAAUAAAAGUUCCGAAAGGGCUACCUGGCGGAGGAUGCACGUUUCAACGAGCUCUUCGAAAGGAAUUCCCACGGCAGGGAAUCGAAAAGGUACGGCACUUGCUCUUGCCUACCGAAGUAGUUCCUUUCCUCUGUAGUGGUCCAAGUUUGGGGUACUUCGGUCCCAAAAAUGUUACCUUUACGAGUAUCACCGAUCCUAGCACGACGAGCAGUAAGUUUGCUAACGCAUUUCGACGCUUUUUCGGAGUUGCCGGUUCGUGCUGGGCGCCACCGUGCACAGCAGCGUGGACGAGUUGAAAAUAAAACUGUUUAUCACUUGCGUUAUCUAUUUUUACCCGUCCGCAGCUGUGGCAGACCGGUCUGGUACCGCCGGUCCGUCACCGGCUUGCUGCGGAAUGCCACGGGUUAGGCCACGCAGGUGAUGGCAGCAGCUCGGUAGCGCAGGUUGACGCCGGAAUGCUCAACCGGUAUCGCGACGGACGGACAGGCGCGGCGGACGGAUUGCCCAAGAAUUUACUCAAGAGCUCGUACGUGUCAACGAUGAUGGUUUGGCCGGCUUGCUGGCUGGCUGGCUGGCAGGCUGGUGCGAGGGAUGAACUUUGUUUAUGUUUCCCUAAUGCACGAGCGUCGCGUCUCUUUUAUACAAACUUGGCAUACGGUUAGUGAUGGAUUUUGGGAAAUGCGGGAAAACUUCUCCCCAUAAUGGGGCAGAUUAGUAACAAAUUAACUUUUAAUUGAACUAACUCAGUUUGGCGACGCUACAUGUUGAGAGUUGAGUAGUGAUGGCGGUGGCGUCAAGAGUAGGAUGCCUUCAUAUGAAAGUAAUUUGAAAUUCUUAAACAUAGACAUUAGUUAAGACGUGAGCUUAUCCUAAACAGAUUAUAGAUUGUCCACGUCCGUUUUGAAACAUCGUACGUCUCGGAUCCAUAAUUAGGUGCCAACAAUUAGCACCAGCUGGGACUAUUCUCUGUCACGAGCCCAUCCGGCGGACUUGGCUUCAUUAUAUUCCACAUUUUUGGGAUGCUACACAAAACCGCCAGACAACGGAUUCAUAAAUAUUCAGCAUCAAUUCCGAAAACGGCAUCGGUUUCGAUCAAUUCCGGACUUCGAGUUCGAAAACAAACCCACGGAAGGAACCGAAAGAAAGGAGCGAAAAUAUGACAAAUCGUUUACACCGUAAGCGCAACCAGAUUCCUCGUGUUCCAACAAACCUCCGAGGGGCUCCUCGGACUCACGUGAAGAGCGCCACGCUCCAAAUUGAAACAGGUCGGGUGUAUUCGGUGCCGACCUUACCACACGAGAUUCCACCUGCUACCUUGCGACGUGUGGGGAAGACCAACCAGUUGGGUUGGAAAAGGCCGUCGUUGGGCAGUCCGCGCGCAGAAGCGUUUAAUCAUUUGCUAAUGAAGUUUUCCACCUCGGACACGGAUUAUACCCGAAGUAGUUCCGGCGUAGUUUAGGACGGAGGAAAGAUUGUCAUCGGACCAGGUUGGCUGGUUUACCGUCUGGCAAACUUUGCACGCUCUUGCUGACCGGCUGGCCGAGUUGAAAUGUAAUGUGGACGGUCUUGAGUGCUGAGCGAGUGGCGCCAGCAGGGCCGUCUGGAUCCACCGGACUCGCCAGGCAGCGUGGCGGUGAAUGGGGAAUGUGAACCGGCGAAUGGCAUCGCUAAUGAACUCCAGCAUGCCGGGUGUAGCGGAGAGCAUAUUAAUACGUCGUUCUGAAUAUGAAUCUGUCAUCCAUGUUAUUCAAUUCAUUAGCCUACGCUUUAAGGCACAGGUUUUUGAGACGCUCAACUUAUGAGCUCAUCGCUUUUUCUAGCCAACA